GAUGAAGAACGUAGCGAAAUGCGAUAAGUAAUGUGAAUUGCAGAAUUCAGUGAAUCAUCGAAUCUUUGAACGCACAUUGCGCCCCUUGGUAUUCCGAGGGCAUGCCUGUUCGAGCGUCAUUAUAACCCCUCAAGCUCAGCUUGGUGUUGGGGCCUGCUGCACUGGCAGCCCUUAAAAUCAGUGGCGGCGCCAUCUGGCUCUAAGCGUAGUAAUUCUUCUCGCUAUGGAGUCCUGGUGGAUGCUUGCCAUCAACCCCCAAUUUUUCUAUGGUUGACCUCGGAUCAGGUAGGGAUACCCGCUGAACUUAAGCAUAUCAAUAAGCGGAGGA
rnacentral:misc_RNA from 1 species